UCAGCUCUCACCCCGCCUUCCAGCGAGCAGCAAGCACUUGGUAAUCCAGUGUAUGGGACUGGGCUGCCGCUAUCUUCUUCCAGCUGACCACUCAGAAGUCACUACAGCUUUUCUUUUCUCUUUUUCUCGCGCUCACUCAGAUUGUGCGUUGUCGGGGUCGAAGGGGGCUUUUGUGCGGCGGUUUAGCUCGAGGAAGGAACAUGCAGCAUCCCGGAGGAACAUGCGUGGCGUUACCCAACGUGGAUGCGUGCCCUCAGUUGUCCUGCGCGGCUCUCACCUUUAUGUAUUUGCAGCAGGGUAACCAGGACACACCCACACUCUCGGACCCAUCCAUGGCCCAGACCUACACAUCAGCCCAAUUUGCUCCCCUCCCCCAAAAUGGCAUCCCCACCGAGUUCACCACUUCACACCCUCACGCGCAUCCGCAUUCCCAUCAGCACCCGGCACCUCAAGACUACUCCGGGGUCCAGGCCUCCAUCAGCGAGCAUCCGCUCAACAUGUACCAGUCCUCGCAGAGCCACGGCGAGCAGAAUGGAUCUGACACCGGCAGCCAGAGAGUCACCGGCACGGCCACACAGACAGAUGAUGCCUCUCAGACAGACAGCCAUCCACCGACACAGACUGUAUCUGAGACCACAGACAGCAAAGCCCAACCCAAAAGACUUCAUGUGUCCAACAUCCCCUUCAGAUUCAGAGACCCGGACCUCAGGCAAAUGUUUGGCCAAUUUGGCAAAGUCUUAGACGUGGAAAUCAUCUUCAACGAGCGUGGCUCGAAGGGUUUCGGAUUCGUAACAUUCGAGCAUAGUAUGGAUGCCGACAGGGCCAGAGAGAAAUUGCAUGGCACCGUGGUCGAAGGCCGAAAAAUAGAGGUCAACAAUGCAACAGCCCGAGUAAUGACAAAUAAGAAGGCUGUCAACCCAUAUGCAAAUGGCUGGAAGUUAAAUCCAGUGGUCAGUGCGGUCUACAGCCCAGAAUUCUAUGCAGUACCAGGUUUUCCCUACCCAGCAGCCAGUGCAGCAGCAGCAGCAGCAGCGGCGUACAGAGGAACCCACCUACGAGGUCGAGGACGAACAGUCUACAACACGUUCAGGGCGGCCGCUCCGCCUCCUCAUAUUCCGUCUUAUGGAGGUGUUGUUUACCAGGAUGGAUUUUAUGGUGCAGAUAUUUAUGGUGGUUACGCUGCCUACAGAUUUGCCCAGCCUGCUGCUGCCGCAACAUCUGCAUACAGUGACAGUUAUGGACGAGUAUUUGCUGCAGAUCCCUACAACCACGCACUCACUCCAGCAGCCGCAUACAGCAUUGGUGCCAUGCUGUUGGCAUGUUUCCCUGGCAUGAAGCGUCUCGCUGUCCUUGCUGCAUGACGAUUGAUCCGGUCACGGGUCUUUUCAUCCACCACGGCUUUACACCGGAAUAACGAAUACAUUCGCCCCGCUGUCAGAUGCCAAAACCCGGAGCCACGUGGACGAUGUGGGGCUUGUGCUGUCCUCUCUCCAGGCUAGUAUAUACCGGGGAGGCUACAGCCGCUUUGCACCCUAUUAACAGCGCGGCCAACCGAAACGCAACAAACGGACAGGAAGAACGUGUGUGUGUGUGUGUGAGUGUGUGUGUGCGUGUGUGUGCGAGAAUGCGAUCCGCAAGUUAAAAAGAGAGACAUUGCUGAGGCCUGGGUAUUGCAAUACGUGCAAUUAAAGCAUAAUUUGAGCAUCUCCUAAGCGAGAAAAAUAUCUAAAAACUAAAAAGACAGCUGAUAUUUUUCAUCUUAUACCUCAGAUAUUUUGUGCUGUGUAUUUUGAUAUUGUGGGUUUUUAAUUUAUCGAGAUUUAAAAAUACUUACACAUACUUUAUCAGCCAUAGAGGUUUUUUUUGUUUUUUUUUUGUCCAUGGUACUAAUAGACAAACUGUUCAUGUAAAAUUAGGACACAGAGGAAAUAUUUAUCAGAUUGUUGUACACCAAUCUUGUGGGGUUAUACUGUAUAUCAAAGUAACAUGUUUUUUGAUAGCAUGUAUCUCCUUUUUCAUACAUGCCUUUAAGUGGACAAUGUUGAGGUUGUUGUUUUUGUUUUUUAAACUAUGAUGUAUUUUCAUGCAGAGGUAAGAAGUGUUAAAGAACACUGACAUAGGCGGAAUCCUAAUUCUCCCCGUCAUCCUGCCCCCCGUUUUGUGGAAAUGCUGUGCCAAUUCUCUUAUAAGGUUAAAGAAAGGUCCAAGAGCGCGGCCGCCGCUGCUGCUCACUGCUCCCCUCACCUCCCAGGGGGGUGGAACAAGGGGAUGGGUCAAAUGCAGAGGGUAAUUUAAAGUUAAAGUACCAAUGAUUGUCACACACACACUAGGUGUAAUAAUAAUAAUAAUAAUAAUAUAUUUUAUUUGCAAAAAGCACUUUAUAUUGAGUAAGCAAUCUCAAAGUGCUACAGUGUAUUAAAAAAUAAAUUAAAAAAAAGAUAAUAAAUAAAUAAAUAAAAAUAAAAACUAGAACAGCCAAAUAGCUAUAGCUAGUAUGCACAUAUCUAUAAAAAAAAAAAGGCUUUUUUUAAAAAAAGGGCUUUUAAGCCUUUUUUAAAAGCAUCCACAGUCUGUGGUGCCCUCAGGUGGUCAGGGAGAGCAUUCCACAGACUGGGAGCGGCGGAGCAGAAAGCCCGGUCUCCCAUUGUUCGUAGCUUUGUCCUCGGAGGUUGGAGGAGGUUAGCCUGUCCGGAGCGGAGGUGUCGUGUGGCGAAAUGAUUCUCUCCAUUUGACCAUCACCCUUGAUCACCUCCUGGGAGGUGAGGGGAGCAGUGAGCAGUAGCGGUGGCCGCGCCCGGGAAUCAUUUUUGGUGAUUUAACCCCCAAUUCCAACCCUUGAUGCUGAGUGCCAAGCAGGGAGGUAAUGGGUCCCAUUUAUAUAGUCUUUGGUAUGACUCGGCCGGGGUUUGAACUCACGACCUACCGUUCUCAGGGCGGACACUCUAACCACUAGGCCACUGAGUAGGUUUUCUAGGUAAUUUCACCACACAUAGUGUGUGUGACUAUCAGUGGUUCUUUAACUUUAAGUGCCCUCAGAAUCAGAAUCAGAAAUACUUUGAUAAGGAACUGAAGUGUGGUCCCGAACACACCUACGAUCAAGUUUUGACAAAGUUCCCAUCGCAUCGCAUUCACGCACAAGAUAGCUGAGCAGAAACCACACACGUAUGUAAUUAUAAGAACUAUUGACUUCCAUCUCCAGGUUGGGGAGGAGAUCUUUCCCCCAAGUGGAGGAGUUCAAGUACCUCGGAGUCUUGUUCACGAGUGAGGGAAGAGUGGAUCGUGAGAUCGACAGGCGGAUCGGUGCGGCGUCUUCAGUAAUGCGGACGCUGUAUCGAUCCGUUGUGGUGAAGAAGGAGCUGAGCCGGAAGGCAAAGCUCUCAAUUUACCGGUCGAUCUACGUUCCCAUCCUCACCUAUGGUCAUGAGCUUUGGGUUAUGACCGAAAGGACAAGAUCACGGGUACAAGCGGCCGAAAUGAGUUUCCUCCGCCGGGUGGCGGGUCUCUCCCUUAGAGAUAGGGUGAGAAGCUCUGCCAUCCGGGAGGAGCUCAAAGUAAAGCCACCAAGGAGCCAGAUGAGGUGGUUCGGGCAUCUGCUCAGGAUGCCACCCGAACGCCUCCCUAGGGAGGUGUUUAGGGCACGUCCGACCGGUAUGAGGCCAAGUGGAAGACCCAGGACACGUUGGGGAAACUAUGUCUCCCGGCUGGCCUGGGAAAGACUCAGGAUUCCCCGGGAGGAGCUGGACGAAGUGGCUGGGGAGAGGGAAGUGUGGGCUUCUCUGCGACCCGACCUCGGAUAAGCGGAAGAAAAUGGAUGGAUGGAUGGAUGGACUUUCAUAGUCACGACAUUUUUAUCAGGCAUUCAGUCCUUUGCUACUUUGUGUAAAUAUUUCCAUGUUUCGAAUAUUUAUUUUAAAUUGCUAGAGUUAGCUAACGCAGCUCGAGCUAAUAAAUUCCGAUGUCGGACUUGCAGAAAACGGACAUUACUACAAAUUUCGAAGGAUUCAAGUAAAAGUUAAAAUGCCA